GUUGUGUUUCAAUGACUGCUUUCAUUUCUGUAGUUGUACAAAAAUGUAAGCUGAUCGAUAUCGUGAUGCACGUAACGGCUUUGUUUACAUUUUCACCGAAGUUCUGACUUACGGUGAAAAUCGACUUACGUCACAUCGUAGGAACGUACCUCUAAUUUAAGUAAGAAACAUUUUACCUUACAAUUUGGAUAAUAUUAAAACUAAGUGUUUGGUUCUCAUAUCUUGUAUUUCUUUUCUCUGGACUUGACUAUUUAGUAUUGUUUAACUUAUUUAUGUAAUUUUAGAGGGCUAGAUCAUAUGGUAAGAUGAUUUAUGUUAAGCCAAAAACUGAUAUGAUGCCGCUUUAUAAGAACUCCUGUAAAACGGAGAUUGAACCAUAAGAUCACAGAUUGCUUGCACAGCAUUUUAAAUGGCUGCCCUGUCAUAAUUAAAACUAUCACAGACUGAAAAUAAACUGAUAUGUGUCUCAUAAAGAUUUAGUAAAUCGUUGUGUGUCCGUAGCUUCUCGCUACGACUGAAGGUUGCUGGAAACUCUCACAGUUGAUCUCACAAAGUCAAUCGUUGCAUUCUGCAAGGUAAAACAUAUGCAGUUUAUGCGAUUUUUGUUUUAGGAAGAAAUCCUGCAGUAGUGAUGCUGCAAAAAGUUGAUAAUUUUGACUACCUCUGACUCUUGACUGGUCUCCUGACUACAGAGUCUCUUGACUACAUGUGAAGCUAAAUAUAGCUGGUCUUCUCUUCCACCAAGCAGCUUCUGAGCUAAUGUGGGCUGCUAGCGGUGGUGGGUCGGGGUGUGAAGGGAUGAAAUGUGUCCAGCGGAGAUGCUCUCAUCAGCGGAUCUCAGCUGCACAGCGUUUGAGGCUCAGACUCAUACCAGUCCACAUGACUUCACACACUGAUGCUGGCUGAUAAUGUGCCGGGAUUAAAGCCGCUGUGUGUCGACGUGUGAAGCGCACACAUGAAUGUUUGUGUGGGUCCGUCUGUUCUCAGGCUCUUAGAUCCAUGGAAGAGCCAUAGAUAUGCACACCCCAUACAACUGCUAAUUCCUAAUAGCAGCACCCUCCAGCAGCUAUGUGACCAGAUUCCAGUCAGGGUCUGAGGCAACAAAUCCUAAACAGAGGCACAGCUUGGUAGGAAGAUGAAUUUCAUGGACCACAAGGUGUUUAUUAUCAACAGAAAACUAAAUUUCACUUUGCUUAUUGCUUUGUACUUGCGAGCAAGAAAGCAUUUUUUUUUUUUUUUUUAAUUAAUCCUCUGAACUCCAAGCACUUUCCAGAUGUAUUUGUUGCUCCUGUCACACUGUGGCCUCAUUUUUUAUUGUAAAAUAGUCCUACACCUUUACAGAAACAAAACAACCAUGUUUAAAAGAAUGUGAAAUGGUUAGAAAUUUGUCUUUUGUGCAAUAUGACACAGCUAUAACAACAAAGCUGAGAGAAAAAGAACACAAAAGUAAUGUUUACGAAAAAAAAUUCUAAAUGGAAUCAAUAUGUACAACCUUUUUCAAGUGCCCACCUGUGUUACUAAUACUGGGGGGGAAAAUGGAAGCUAUAUUUGCAGUUUUACAGCCUCUACAAACUGAGAUUUUUGCAAACCAUAAAAGAUAUUUCCCCAUGCUGAAUGUAUCUUCAAACAACUUGCUCCUUUGUUUACUGUUUUCGAGUCAUGCUGCAUUUAUUUUAGGGAUCCAGGAUGUUUAAUUUUCCUCUCAGGCAUUCUUGUUAAAUCUCAGAAUUUAUGUAAUUUGACUGUUGGUUGCAACUGAAUCAAUCAUGUCUUCACGGUUGCAGCAACAAGCACAGAAUUUUUUGUUUCUUACAGGAUCUGGUUAGAGCAAAUGGUUUAUUUUUGGCAAAUUUCUGAAUGACACAUGUAGUAUUAAGGGAUUUUUCUGCAAUAUCACAAUUUUAAGCAUAGGUUUGAUGCAUACGUCACGUAUGAUAUAUUCAAGGACAGUUGUUAAUUUAAAAAUCUGAUGAUUCUUUCUAUUUCUAUGGUUUCUAUAAAUGUGUAAUUUGGGUUUCUUGUUUGUUUUGUGUAAUUCAUGCAGGCAGUCAUUUACCCAUGAUAACAACUACACUGAAUCAAAAGACAGGAAGUUAUAUGAUAGCAGAUUGGCAGCGUUUAUUUUGUGUUGGAGACGUGUCCUGUACCUGCUUUAAACCUCUGAAGUGCAAAGGGAAAUAACAGCUUUUCUGCAUUUCCCUGGUUGCUUUGGAUCUAUUUCUCUCUAACCAUCUUUGCUUUAAUCAAUGUUUUCCAGGAAGAAUUCAUCCAGGUGUUUAAAGUAUAGUGUGAUUAAACAGCUCUACGCAGAAUCUCGCUAUAUGUGACUAAAAAACAAUACCAGUAUGUUUCACGUGAACAUAAUUCUAGAUCACAAAUAAAUACACUAAUCUAAAAAUGAUGGCUAUAAAUGCAUUGUAGUACAAACACACGUUUCUCACAGAUGUACCGACAAAGACGAUGAUUGGCAUGAGCAAGAUGAGAUGUAGCAGUUAUCAUACAUGUCUAGUUUCUCAAGGACAGCCAGUCAAGAAAGAUCGCUAAUCUUUCAUGUCAAUAUCGAGCCAUCAAAAGCAACCAUAAAGUCCUGAAACCACUUAAAGUGUGACAUUUUUACUACGUGAUGUCAGAUUACAUAUUCAACUAAUGUCACUUGUUAAAAAAGAAAGAUCGUUCAGGAAAUUAAUGAGUCAAGUGAAGCUGUGGAUGGGUCACGUUUUAGAUGCCUAUGAGUUGUUAAUACCUCCAUCAAAUGCUUCUUUUUCUUUAAAUUCAUUACACCUCAAUAAAUGUUAUACUGACCAAACCAAAAGCGAGCAAAAUCAAAGAUCAGGGAAAAGAUCCCAAAAGUGAAAACAAAUUUGUGCAUCAGAGGUUUUUUCUUCUUUCCUCUUCCUUUAACCCUCUGAACCACUACUGCUUCCAAUGCAUGUAGGUCCACAGAGAGAUUCACAAGAGACGGCGCUUUUAGCCAAUUCAAGGUCAACAUUCACAGCUGAUGCAAUCAAUUUUUGUCACCUGAGUCGGUAAGCUCAAUGGUCGGCCGUUGGAAUCGAGAAGACCAAGAGCUCCUAAAUGGGCCUCGUCAUUCAUUGUUACUCAGAAAACAAUGUCGCUGGUGAAGAUGUGAAGCAAUGCCCUGAAGCUUUUAGAUCCAUUUCCUAGUACUCAGCACACAAGCACACAUACACACAAACACAAACACACACGCACAUACACGGUAAGUCACUUCAGGAGGAUUGACUGGAGAUAGCUGAGAAAGUAGCAGCCAUCAUUACCUUGUCUGCUUGUAAACCACAAGGGCCAGAGUAAUCAUCACCCUUAAACACAACGUUUCCUAUUACUCAGCAUGCACACACACACACACACACACACUGAGGCAUGAUCCAUUUCUGCAGAUGGAUAAAUUACAGGGAGGGAAAUGCACAGUGGCACGGCCGUUCGAGGCAGAGGAAAUGAAGAGGCUUAGCUGGAAGGAUAAUAGAGCGACGGAGGAAAAACAAAGCCAAAUAAUUCAUAAUGCAUUGUAGCACGCUGCAUAACCGCACAAUCAGGAGAACUGCCUUUUUUCCCGGAGCGUUACAAAAGAGACGAGACAGCUGCUUACGGAGCUGAAAGAGGUGAAGGACCUACUUUCUGCUGCUGGCUUUUUUAGGUGAAGGAGGUCAAGCUAUCUUUAGCCAAGCAACUGACCGCUGCGUAUGUGGAUUGUGCACGCUCGGGUGACAAAGCAACGAGCUAAUCCACCCAAAUUAGUUCAAGGAUAAUCACUUUAUCGCGACGUGUUGUUAACUAAUUAGAAAUCUGGCCUUAACUGUUGCCAUUAGAGGCGCAUCCACCAUUUUGUUUGCUCUGUUGCAGUAAAACAAAGAUGUGCAGCCCAUUUAUAUUUCAGCAGCAUGCGGCUUCCUCCUCCUCCUCCUCCUCUUCUUCCUGUAUCUCACGACUGACUAGGGGAGUUGUCUUUUUAAACACACCGGGGGUUUAAAAGAAGCUCGGCUUAAUUAGAGCUACACUGGCAGGCUUGUUGUGAAUGCUCUACAACCAGAACCAUGCAAAGGGCUGCUGGAGCUACUCUGAUUAAAAAAAAAAAAAAAAAAAAAAAGACACAACAAACCCCCAUGGAGUACAUACAGCUAACAAGCCUAUAUGCUGCACAUUUUGCCUCUCUUUGUACCAACAGAUAGCUACAUUUAACACACAUACAAAUGAGAGAGUCAGUUUAAAUGCAUGAGACACCAGUCUGUCUGCACGGGCUUGAUUUGGGAUUUAAUGCUGCAUGAUAUUGGAAAAAAAAGAAUUAGAUUGCAAUAUUUUGAUUUUCUGCAAUAUAUAUUACAAUAUGAGAAAAACACACAUUGUCCUUGAAUAACUGUAUUUGGGGUAAUAAAGCAGUAAAACUGCACAGAAAAUAAAAGAGCAGAAAAAUUACAUUUUAUUGUGAAGAUUUUUGAAUGAAAACAGUGCCAUCAGUUAGUCAGUGAAUUAUAUUCGAUAUUUAUUAUAUCACAGUCUGAUAUUGAAUGUACUGACAGUAAGUACAGCUGAGGUCCUGUGAUCAACAUCAAAAUUAAUGACUUGCUAAAAGCUUGCAAAAUUUUCUAUUUCUGCUGUAAGGCGGCAUGAUGAUGGAAGAAUUUGACAUUGUGAUAUUUUGUUUACCUGCAAUCACUGUUCCCUCUAAGCUGCGCGCGUGCGCAAUUGCGCACUGCUAACAAGGUCUCCGCGCACAGAAAAUCUGCGCUACGCACAAAAAAAAAAUCCAACCUAAAUUGUAAAUAAAAUAAACACGUAACAAUUCAUUCUGUCCUAUUUUUCAGUGUGAGUCAGUGAGUGACCGGUGACUGGCUGCUGCAGCCAAUGAUGCGAUUCACAUACGUAUUUACCAUAGACUGUAUAUAAUGGUAUUUACGCAGCUAAUCAACGUCAUAGAUAUGAAUGAGUAGAUAGGACACGCCCCUUUGAGCUGCGUGCUACAGCGAGGCUAAGCUAGUGGGGCCAAAGUUUCAGUGCAUUCCGUUGAUGUAGACAGCGUGAAAACGGAAACAAGUAUGCCGGCUCACUGUGCUGCAUACAAUUACACACUACGUCGUACGAUUGAGACAAGGAAACUUGGAAUGACUUUUCAUAGGUAAGAAUAGUUUUUGGCUCUUUUUUCAUUAUGAAAUCUUGUUAAGAGCUUCCAGUCUAUUAGGGGCUUUCGACCAAAGAGCACCAGGUGCUAGGUUGGUUCAAAGUUGAGAGCCAGUGCUUUUUUGGUUCAAAUCUCGUGCCGCCCCAGAACGGGUUUGUGUUUCCAUUCAGAAGGAGCAAAGUUGGAGCUGCGUCAUUGCGCCACCACAAAACGUGUGUACAUACUGCGUACGUAGCCGUUCAACAGCGUUCACGCUGUAUGGAAACCCACACAACAACAAUGGAGGACUUCAUUGGAGUGGUGUUCGUGGCUUUGCUAGUGUGUCUCGCCAUCGCUGAACAGCAAAACCUUCUGUUAGGGGUUACCCAUCGGCGUCGCCGUUCCAAUGCCCGGCGAUCACGUUUGAGAAGAAAGAUGUUUUUAGAUGUCACCCCGCCCUCUGCCCGUGACGUGCUCGGCUCUCAACUCUGGCCACCUCUGGCCCAGCAGCGAGUUGGUACCCGAAACGGCCCCAGUUUUUGGAGCCCGGAGCCGCAGCUCCGGUGGUCGAAACACAAAAAACCGGCGCCAAGUCGGGCGCCGGCUCCAACUCCGAACGGGCUCCACCCCGGUCGAAAAGAGGGUUAUGAGAGCUAACUAGUUAGCCACUAGCAAAACGCUAAGGCGAGCUAGCAGCUUGACAACCAAAUACCAGACGAUUAAUAGUAGCUGUAGUAUAGUUGUACAAGCAGUAGUAGUAAUACUAAAAGUACAAGCAGCAGUAGUAGUAUAAACAGCUGUUACAGUCAUAGAAGUAGUAUCAGCAUUUGUAAUAGUAUUACAAGUUGUAGUAGCAGUGCCAGUAUCAGCAGCAGUAGAGUGUACUACCACUACUACUAGUAGUAGUCACAUUGCUAUUACUACCACCAAUACAACCAAUAGUAGUUAUAAAGCCUAACUCAUGUAUAUCCAGAUUACCAUCUAUGUUCUUCCUCCAAACCCAUUUUAUGAUUGGGAUUACAGGCAGUUCUUUAGGACUGCUCUCAAAUAAUUGAAAUGUUACUAAACAAGGUUAUACUUAACAAAUUAAAUAGCUCUGGUUUCCAGUAUAUUGGCGUAUUCGGUUCUUUGUAUGUAAUUUAGUAGCAUGAUUUCUUUUUAAUAUGUUGUAUACAGACUUAAUUACUUCUCCGUCUACUUUUCUUACUCCAUGUAGGUUUCCCAGAGACUAUGGGUUGAGGAGGAAUUGGAAGUUUGUCGGCUUAGACCUGGUGUCAUUCCAUCAGUGUUAAACUUCCCGGUUCAUCUUGGAAGAGUACGUGCCAGAAAGACCAUGACCAAGCAGCCUUGAGAUCUUAGGCAGCGUCUCCCUGAGGUCUCUCUCUAUCUCCCCACACAUCCACCAACCACUGGAACACAUCUCCAAAGUUCUGCUGGGCCAGCUCAGCUUCCCCUCAGAAGAAGUGCCGCCACCUGCCAGAUGAAGGAGCCUUUUGAGAGGCAGCUGGCAUCGUGAUUGGACUGUACUUUGGUCUGUUCCAAUCCAGCUUCAGCUCCAGAGACGGCAGGCGGGACGAGUCAGCGGAGGCCGGGUGGACGAAGGCAUGCAGCUGAGUACAAUCCAGAAAACAACAGAGGAGGAGUGCAGCGGCCCAGGACCAGAACAACCAGAGUAGCAUCGUAUGUCUCUGAGAAAACAUCAUAGUAUAGCCUUUGGGAUGAAAAAACACCAUCAUAUACAUCGUAUAUUGUACAAAUAACAAGUCAAAGGAAAGAGACAUACAUUGUAGAAUUGUAGUAAUUGUGGGCUGACUGAUUUACUGAUUAUCAGUAUUUUAUUUUUUACUGAUUUACGGUAAUAAAUACAUUUAAAAAUGGUG